UACGUAGGGUGCAAGCGUUAAUCGGAAUUACUGGGCGUAAAGCGUGCGCAGGCGGCUUUGCAAGUCAGAUGUGAAAUCCCCGGGCUUAACCUGGGAACUGCAUUUGUGACUGCAUGGCUCGAGUGCGGCAGAGGGGGAUGGAAUUCCCAGUGUAGCGGUGAAAUGCGUAGAUAUUGGGAGGAACACCAGUGGCGAAGGCGGCUCACUGGACCGGUACUGACGCUGAUGCGCGAAAGCGUGGGGAGCAAACGGG
rnacentral:rRNA from 1 species